AACGAGCGCUGGCGGCAUGCCUAACACAUGCAAGUCGAACGAGACCUUCGGGUCUAGUGGCGCACGGGUGCGUAACGCGUGGGAACCUGCCCUUAGGUUCGGAAUAACUCCCCGACAGGGGUGCUAAUACCGGAUAAUGUCUUCGGACCAAAGAUUUAUCGCCUUUGGAUGGGCCCGCGUUGGAUUAGCUAGUUGGUAGGGUAAAAGCCUACCAAGGCGACGAUCCAUAGCUGGUCUGAGAGGAUGAUCAGCCACACUGGGACUGAGACACGGCCCAGACUCCUACGGGAGGCAGCAGUGGGGAAUAGUGGACAAUGGGCGAAAGCCUGAUCCAGCAAUGCCGCGUGAGUGAUGAAGGCCUUAGGGUUGUAAAGCUCUUUUACCCGGGAUGAUAAUGACAGUACCGGGAGAAUAAGCUCCGGCUAACUCCGUG
rnacentral:rRNA from 1 species